rnacentral:sRNA from 1 species
GAUGUCAGGCAGCGUCUUGGGGGGCGCCACCUGACAUCUGGGGAUGUCUUGGGGGACUUUCCCAGAGGUGCGUUGCCGGGACACGUACACCGGGAAGCUUUGAGCGGCCCUCCCGGGCGUGCGCUGUCCCGGCAGACCGCGCGGCAAGCACGACCAGCAGCACCGUCAGCACAGCACGACACAGCGAAUUCAGGCGCUGUCCUCACAGACGCCCGGCCGGAUCCCGUGGGGGGAAUCCGCACCGGGACAUGGGAAGGCGCCCUGGAUCGUCGGC